UUCCAUUUUUUUGCACAUGGAGUUGUCAGCUUAGAAACUCCAAUCAGUGGUUUCUCUCUCCUCUCGAAUCAUCUGUAUUCUCUCAUACCUCCUUUUUCUCUCUCCUUCCUUCGCGAUAUUGCCAUCGAUCUAUCAACAAUGGUUAGAGGAUCGCUCAAAAACUUGAUGAGCAGAUUGGUCAGCUUAUGUAGUACAAGCCUCUUUCAGAACAAGAGGCAAGCUUCAACAAUCUUCAAUGGCGGACGAUGAUUACAAUGACAUGGAUAUGGGACUUUGAAGAUUCUAAAUUGCCAUGGCACGAGCACAAUAUUGAAGAUUCUGGAACGAUUUCUUCAAGCUGAGAAAUUCUUCAGUAAGCUCAUCGAGAAAGAGAAAAAUGUAUGGGCUAAUUUGGCUAAUCAUUUCUCUCACCUCGCGUUCUCUCUCUACAAAUGGGUGUUUUCAGAUUUGAGAAGAUUACACUUCAAAGGCCCAAAUCAUCAUCUAAUUUUAAUCAAGUUGAAGAUUCUAGAACGAGUUCUUCUGUCGGAAAAUCUUUCUGGAAGAAUAUCGAACUAUUGAAGCUUGUGAAAAGCUUUGUGACAUUACUCACUCUUAUCUUGGUCCUAAUGAUUAACAAGGAAGAUGGAGAACUUGAAUUGAAACUGAAGUGAUAAGUAAAGUGACAUUUUCCGCUCUUUAGGACCUUUUAAAUAGCAGCAUCAACGGUUGAGUUUAUAAAUCUGAUCAUCAUGUCGCAGAGCUCUUUCAAGCUUCAACAUUUGAGGCUACCAGUCUACAGGAUUAUAUGGCCAGGAUGAAAAUGGUGAAAUUAUUUAUGGUGGAGACGGUAAACCCUUGAUUCUUACAAAAGGAACUGGUUUCAUAUCUGAAGAUCUUGCUUUAAGGUGUCCCCAUAAUUGUCACAAUGGUUACGUAAAUGAUAAAGAGAACAUAGAGGUUUGCUGUGCCUGUAAUAGCUCAAUUUUACUUUCUUUAACCAUAUAUUUGUUGUUGUGGAAUAUCAACUUUCUUAAAGUAGAUAAUGACCAAUAUGCUAUCUGUUUUUACUGUUUCCUAAGCUGUGUUCUAAAAAGGCUAAAUAGGGUGGUAUUCUUAUCUUGCUAUGUAUUUGUGCUCACUUCAUGGCAUCCUUUUGUUGGUUAAUUAAGGUUGUAUUAAUAUAUGUUAUGAUAGAUAUCUCCUAGACUACGACAACCUUGUUGAUUGAUUCCUCACUAUCUCAGGGCUUGAAUGGAUCUUUAGAAGUGUAUCGAUUUGCAAACAUCUAUUCUAGAUUAGCUGAUUUGAAUUCACUCCCAGUUGUGUCGGUACUUACAUUUACUACAACAAUCAUUGGAUCUAUCUAUGUUUUAAUGACUAAUUAUGCAUUGUAUUGAUAUAUUCUUUUGUGUUGUCUCCAACUUCCAUCCUUUGCUGAUACAGUUUAAUAUGUUCUACAAAGGUCAAGUUAUAAAGGGAACUGUUCUCGUGAACAAAAAGGUAACUUGUCCACUCAUUCGAGUCUCGUCGCUUCACUUUUUAGGGGUGGCAAGCAGGGUGUCUUGGUUAUGGUUAUGCUGCCUUGUUGAGAAUAUAAAGUUCUAUGUAUUGUUCAUCUUUCAUUGUUCUGUUAUUUUCGCCAUUAAUCCAUGGAGCUUGCUAUCCCACCAUACUAAACACUACUCCUGAUUUACUUUAGUGAUAGCUUUUAUGUUUUACUUUAGUGAUAGCUUUCAUUGUUCUGUUAUCCCACCACAAAAUACUUUAGUGAUAGCUUUUAUGUUUUACUUCCGUCAAUAGAUUCCUCAAGCAUGGUUAAAAUUCAACUCAAUGGUACACACUUGAAAAAACUUAGAAUUAAGGUCGGUAUUGGGGGUUAGGGUUGUUUAUGUUGGCACUCCCAUGGUGGCUGUACGUAUUAUUCAUAGUUGAAAGCCGUUUACAAUGGCAAGAGCAUCAUUUUUAGCUAGAAAUAAAAACAUAUUGAACCUAAUUAGUUUGUAUCAGAAAAAGGUAUUAUUUUAAUGAAAGUACAAGAAAGAAAGCAAUUCAUGUUGAACAAUUGAAAUUAAAUAUAGGAAAAAAAAUUUAAACAGACCAUUCGAUCCCAUGGCACCGCCCCAUUAGUCUUAUUACAAAGAUACGGUCAUUAUGCUUGAAGCAAAGCAAUUUCAUGGUUUGUCCUAGCAAAAUCAGUAUGGAGUACAUUCUAAUUGUAUAUGACGACCCCACAAAGAACUAGAACCUGUCCACUUUUCCAAAUGGGUAAUUCCUAAAUGUCUUUUACCAUUAAUUUGAUCAAUUUAUAGUAAGUUGUUCUUUUUUUUCUUUAAUUUAAGUAUUGUAUGUUCGAAUUUUAUUUUCUUGGUUUUUUCCCGAUUAAAUAUUAGGCUCAAGAAAAAAGGAAACUAAAGGUAUGCCUUCAUCAAAAUAGGCUAAAGCUCGGUCCUGAAAGUAGAAGAAUUAAAGGUCACUUUUUUAAUUAUUCAUCUCCCAUAUAUUCAAUUCAAUAGCAUGUAGAUUUUAAUUUGAGAUUAAUAGAAAGGAAUUUACUUUACUUUUUUUUUUUGGUAAAAAUUGCAGAGGUGGAGACAUGGAGUAAAGGAAAGCAAAAGCUUUUAUAAAAUGGUUUGCUUCCUAAAUAGCAAGAAGCUUUUAUGUUGCUAAGCUUGUGUUUAAUUCCAAUUAUAACAGUUAUGUUGCUCAAAUAAGUACCAACUUGCUGCAUUAGGAAUUCAAUGCAAAGCAAUUAGAUUUUGGGCUUGGCAAAGGGGGUCCCGAGGAAGCUAAGGUAAAGUUCAUGUAUCUACCCCCAUGAUGGGGACCUAUGAGUUAUUGAGUUGAAAAUAUUUUGGUGAACAAGAAGAAUGGAAAAUGGUGCUUGGUUGAUGAUUUUUAUGGAGAGAAAGAGUCCUUUAUAGGAGCGAGGAAGUUGAUUGGAAGAGAGGAAAGCAAAGAAAUCUUGGGCAAUGGAAAUUAAUAAUAUAGAGAAGAGGAUGUAAUUGCUAAUUAUGGAUUGAUUGUCUUGCAAAACAGGACUGUAUAUUCUACUGUAUUUCGUUUGAGAUUCUUGUAUGUUGAUUUUAAGUUCAAUCAAUUAGUCCUUUGUUCAUAAUGGGGAUUGGGAUUAAUUUUUGUGGUGUAAGCAUGUUAAUUGUGAUGGGUUUAGCUUAUAAAGUUGGGAUUUCUGUUAAUUAUAUGAUUUUCUUUGUGUAUGAUGUUCGGUAGUUGCGGUUCAACUCAAUAUUGGGAGUAAAAUUAUAAUAUUUGGGAUUUGCUAAUUGAAGUGGGUGAAAUUAGAUGUGUUAUACUAUUCUAUUAGUUUUGUAUACUUAUGUUACAUGCAUAGAACUUAUAAAGAAAUUUCCCCCGAGGUUGUAUGUGGGAAUUAGAGGUGGAUAGGGUUUUGAAUUUCUAGAUUUUUUGUUAAUCAAAUUUUAGUUCAGAAGAUAUGAAUUUCAGAUUUGCCAAGAACAAUAAUUAAUGGUUUUUACUCAUGAGGCUUUGAUGCUACAGGUUGUAAAGUUUGGUUUUUUAUGAAUUUUGUGAAUCGUGAAGUAGUUUAGAACUAUUUUCUAACCAUGUAGAUGAUUGGGAUGUCGUAGGUUAGUAAUUUUUAUGGAUAGUGUUCUUUAUUGAAUUUAAAAAUAAUUUUUAUUGUUCUUGUUGUUGGAUGAAAAUAGUGAAUUGAAUUGUACUAUAAUGAACACAUAGAGGGGCUGGGAGCUCACGCAAUUUAUUUACUUUUUUAAAUAUGAGGGUUUGAAAGUGAGAAUACGAGGAGCAAAUCGUUCAUGGGAUUAUAUUUGAGUAAUAAUAUUUUUUUUUUGGUCAAAUUAUGUCUUGUAGUAGCUUGUAAUUAUAAUGGCAUUUGUUUCCUUUAGUUAAGGUGUUGACUUCAUUGUUCUUUAAUUUUUCAGAAAAUCAGUUGUUGGGGAAUCUCAGCCAUUUUCCGUUUGUUUCCCCCUAAUUUUUCUUCUCACUUUUGUUUCCAUUUUCUGUUGCCAUUGUUGCCAACACCUCUAUCGUCUACUGCCAAAACCUCUCAGGUUUCAUUUUCCUCAACGGCUUGCUGAGGUUGACGUUCCAACUUUGGUUCCAAUGGAAGGAAUUGAUUCUCUUGGACAAAGUCAAAUACUAAAACGGGUCCUUCAAGUCCGGUUUCAUCAUCAUCUGCUACCCUUAAAGUUUUCAUUACAGUGCAAUGGAAAGAAUUACCCUGUCAAGUGCGACCUGAUAUUGGAUACUUUAUAAUGCCCUUAAAAUGGAUGUUCCAGAAUUUAGAAAUAAGGAAUCACAGUUGCCUGGCAUGUUUGAAUAUGUGAGAAGCUGAUUACAAUCUUGAGAGGUGGUACUCAACAUAGACAUGCAUGCUAUCAUUAAACUCUUUUUUUAAUAACACUUUAGCUUGUCCUAAAACAUGAAUUGUAAUAAAAACUUGUUAAAUGGAAGCCAGAGUACAUAUGGAAGAAUAGUCACAUUCAUGAUUGUAAUUGCAAUUUUUUGGGUUUAUACCAAAAUUCAGAGUUGUUUAAAAAAAAUAUGUUGAGUUUCUCAAGCAGAUAUAUGGGAAGACAACAAGAUACUGCGCAAAUUGCAGUAAUCUUGCAUUUUGCUCAUCUUACUCACCCUAAUUCCUGAAUCUGAUGAUAACCUAGAUUUUAAUUUUGUUCAUUCUUUGAUUUUUUUUCAAUUUUUGGAGAAUUGAGGAAGAAUUUUAUGAGUGUAAAAUUGCUGGGGUGUUUUGGGGAUCGUUGCCCAGUUUUCCACUCUAUUUCUCUCUCCUUUGAUUAUGAAUAUCAACAUUAAACGGACCUCUCCCAAAUUCCAAACCCUAAACCCACAACCUUAACCCUGAAUUUUGGGUAUUUUUGCUGAAUCUUGAAUAUGUUGCAGAGGCGAUGAUGUUGCUUUGAGUUUUCCUAAAUAUUGAUUUUCAAAUUCAGGCAUUGGAGAUUGGAAGGCAUUCUCUCUCCACAUAAAUAUGUGGCUAUUGCUUCUUGUUGUUAUUGUUGUUGUUGGGCAAUAGCUUUCAAUGUCCUCUUUAUGCCUGAGCUAUAGAAAAAAAUAAAAUAAAAUAAAACUGAGCCUCAAUAAUUAGAUGUUCAACGAUGGAAAUGACAACAUAAUUUAUUUUUCCUUCUGGAAAUGGCAUCUAAGUUGCAUAACUGGUAUGAUUUCGGCUGAAGAAUAUUAACUUUUGGAUUGAGGAAAUCUUUAAACAGGUGGCUCUCCAAGUUUAAUUCUCUCCUUAAGUGUACAUUUCUAUGCUAUGCAAUCCCUUACGAUUUGGUUCAGAUCAAAGUUGUCCUUGUAUGAACCCAAAUUUACGCACUAACAUGAAAGUGGUGAGGCAGUGGGCUUUAAGGGCGGAGAGCCUUUGGGAGUUCCGGGAGCUGUUGAGAUUUGGGUUUGAUUUUGGAAGGAGUUUGAAUUGCUGAAAACCUUCUACAACUUAUCAUCAGUGUGAUUAACAUGAUGCCCUCAUGUUUGAUACUUAGCCUUUGAUUCUAAAAGUCUUUGCUUAUGGAUCAUCAUCCGCUGAUGUGUGUGUGUUUUCUUUUUAAAAUUAAUCUCUUCAGUUAUGGAUCAUCAUACGCUGAUGUGUGUCUUUGCUUAUGGAUCAUCAUUCGCUUAUGGAUCAUCAUACUUAGCAGUUUUUUACUCUUUUAUCUUUUUUUUUUUAUAUAUAUAAUGGCGUUAUAAGAUCUCCACGACCUCAUGUUAUUUUAU